CAGGCCUAACACAUGCAAGUCGAACGUGAAGCACCUUCGGGUGUGGAAAGUAGCGCACGGGUGAGUAACGCGUGGGAAUGUACAUCUCGGUACGGAACAACAGUUGGAAACGACUGCUAAUACCGUAUAAUGACUCCGGUCCAAAGAUUUAUCGCCGAGGGAUCAGCCCGCGUCUGAUUAGGUAGUUGGUAGGGUAAUGGCCUACCAAGCCUACGAUCAGUAGCUGGUUUGAGAGGAUGAUCAGCCACACUGGGACUGAGACACGGCCCAGACUCCUACGGGAGGCAGCAGUGAGGAAUAUUGCACAAUGGGGGCAACCCUGAUGCAGCCAUGCCGCGUGAGUGAAGAAGGCCCUAGGGUUGUAAAGCUCUUUCAGUUGUGAAGAUAAUGACGGUAACAACAGAAGAAGCUCCGGCUAACUCCGUGCCAGCAGCCGCGGUAAUACGGGGGGAGCGAGCGUUGUUCGGAAUCACUGGGCGUAAAGCGUGCGCAGGCGGUUUGGAAAGUCAGAAGUGAAAUCCCGGGGCUCAACCCCGGAACUGCUUUUGAAACUUCCUUACUAGAGUAUGGUAGAGGUUGGGAGAAUUCCUAGUGUAGAGGUGAAAUUCGUAGAUAUUAGGAGGAAUACCAGUGGCGUAGGCGCCCAACU
rnacentral:rRNA from 1 species